UUCAAAGAACAACGUGUAACAGCAACGCAAAUCUAUUAAGUCCUUUACGUAGCUUGUUUUCACGGAGCUAACUUAAUAACUCACGUCGAAAUUAGGUUUACCUACGGCCUUGUACCCCUUGUCCACCUUGUUGCGCCAUUCCUUGCCCACCAAAGGUUAUCGUUGCGUGUACACCACCACCGCCACCCUGUCCACCGCCCUGUCCAACUGUGGCGUUCGUUUGCACCAAGAAAAUGGUCCCCUGUAUGCCCUGUCCACCGCCUACUCCGCCGCCUUGCUCCCCUUGUCGUGCAGUUUGCCUGUCUCAUCCCCCCUGUUAACUGCAGGCAAGAGUUGGAAGGUUUCUUCGGAUCUGACAGUUAGGCGUGUGAGAUCUAACGAGAACGACGAAUAUAUACGUGGAUUUGACUUUUCAUACGAAAAUAGGAAAAUAUCAGGUACAGAGAGAUAUAAUUUUCAAAGAAAAUUUGCGAGUUAAGAUAAAAAUAUAAGAUACAUGGAACUGUUUCAACGUUGAAGAAAUCCUGAUCAGGUAAAACGAAUUAAGACACAAGUUCCUAAUUAUGAUCGAUUUACUGUCUCGGAAGUGGCACAAAACUUACGACGAAGAGAUCCCGAUUGCUUGUAAUCUCGGAUUGAACUGUACUCGAAUGCGUCUUCCAACAAACUUUUAUUUCUCAAUUGAGGAAUUCGAUGAUCAUCGCAACCGAAUUAAGAAUUACCAAGAAUUUAAGUGACUUACCGAUUUAGACGCCACCUUGUUAGGUUGUUCAUUAGAAUGACGAAUUAUUAAAAUAACGAGGAUUAUUCUUGUGAUAGAGUUCGAGA
rnacentral:misc_RNA from 1 species